rnacentral:pre_miRNA from 1 species
UGUUCGACUGAAAGGUCAAUAUCAGCUGGUAAUUCUGGGCUGGUAUCCAACCCGUUAAUGUUCGCUUCCCGGAAUUCCAACUGAUAUCCACUUUUUAGUCGAG